rnacentral:rRNA from 1 species
GCAGUAGCCACGGGAAUACAGAGGGUGCGAGCGUUAAUCGGAUUUACUGGGCGUAAAGCGUGCGUAGGCGGCUUUUUAAGUCGGAUGUGAAAUCCCUGAGCUUAACUUAGGAAUUGCAUUCGAUACUGGGAAGCUAGAGUAUGGGAGAGGAUGGUAGAAUUCCAGGUGUAGCGGUGAAAUGCGUAGAGAUCUGGAGGAAUACCGAUGGCGAAGGCAGCCAUCUGGCCUAAUACUGACGCUGAGGUACGAAAGCAUGGGGAGCAAACAGGAUUAGAUACCCCGGUAGUCCCUGUCUCUUAUAC